ensembl:lincRNA
CUCGUCACCAGCCUGCCUCACGUUGUCAUCUUUCCACCUGCUGGGCUGCAGGUCACGGGAAAUCCCCAUAAUGGGGACAUAAUCUAUGGGCACAAUCACUAUUUCAGAUUCCAACUAGACGCUCGGAUGCAGGCCAGUGCUCGGGUUCAUGCAGCCGCUGAGUGGUUGCAUCGGGGGCUGCACGCAGGCUUUCUGCCCCGCUGCCCUCAGAGACUGCAGCCCUCUCCCUGCAUGUUUGCUGAAGCCACUGCCAGCUCAGAAUGUAGACAUGGCCACGUCCAAGAGUGAGAAGAGCAGUGUUUUCUUCCAACUGUCUCAUUCAGGAGAAAACCUUUUCCAAAGUCCCAUCUGACUUUCUUGCAGCAACCUGUGGCUCAGGAUGGGGCAUCGUCCCAUGACCUAGCCAGAAAAGCGGCUGGAAAAGUGAAGUCAGAUGUUUUCAGCACAUUGGUGGGGUGACAGAGAGACAGCUUUAAGAAAGCAGAGCGACGCUACAAAACAGGAACGAUGAUCCCCACCUGCAGGUGAAGAAACCAAGACUUAGAGAGCUGACUUCGCAUUUCCAAGGCUGCAUUGCUGGAGAAGUCUGCUGAUGCUGGCCUCGAGAGAAGGUCGGGGACUCCAUUCUCCACCACAAGCAGCUCCAUCCCCUUCCUGCCUCCUCUGCCCCCAUCCCCAGUCUUAGAACAAGGGCAGCUCCCAGCAGGGUCAUAUUCAAGAUAUUUAAGAACUGGCGUGACACGCGCCACCACUCACAGCAGAAACCUCAGACCUGGAGCAGAAAGGGUGCUGAGCCCCCAGGUCGGCCCUUUGAUUCCAGUAAACUCAGGGGCCAUCGGGAGGCCAAGGAAGGCCAGGGCAGCGUGGACUACAGGGAGAUGGGCACUGGGGAGACUCAGGGCAGUCUGCCAAACAGCACAGCCACAGUGGGGCCUGUCAACACCCCACCAGGCAUACACGAGAACCGAGAAGAGGAAUGAGGGCAAGAAGCCUGUCUGCAAGCCCAGCCACCAGGUCUCUUUCCUCCCUUGACCACAGUGAAUGGAGCAGGAGAGGGUGAGGCUUGGGUUCCAGCCCUUUCCGGGUCAGGUUCCCAGCUGAGCUGGGCAUAGAGCUGCCUGGCACACCCCAGACCUGCUCAGCCUCCCUGGCAGCUGCCUGGCCUGGGCCGCCUGAGGCAGCCUCAUCUCCCCAUGCUGGGGAGGACGGAUAAGAGCCAGCCAGAGGGAAAACUGCCCAGGGUGCCUCUCAGCACGUUCUGGUCAUGGUCUGCAGAAUAAUCUUUUUUAAAAAUAAAUCCAGCUGGAGUCUCAGCUGAAAACAGCUUCCUCAAAAUGGCAGGAUAAAUUGGACACUUUAUUUCAGUGGUAAAACAGCUAGGCUGCUGAACGGCUGGGGAAAGGGCUCAUUUCAGCAACUUCAUUUCAGGCUGGAGUCUCAGGCUCAUCCCGGGUGGGCAGGGACCUCUCCCACCGUGCCUCUGCGCGAAGGGGUGAGAGGGUGUGGGCAGGACCCCGACCAAUCAUGCUGGACGCCCCGGGUGGUCAGAUCAGUCCUGGAACGGUCAUGACUUCUCGGAUUUUUCGCAGUGGUCCGAGUUCCCCAAAGCACGGCCUCUGGUCAGUCCUGAGGCAGCGCAAGCUGUGUCUGCUUGCUUGAAGAUCGUUUCAUCUGAAGGCCGGACCUCUGGAUGCUGUUUUGAUCCAAGAGAAAGACUCUCAAAUCAAAUAAAUGAAUCCUGAAAUUGAAUACCGAUUUAGAAUAAAAAUGAGUGAGGCAAUAUUUCUCCUGGAGUGAGUCUUCCGUGGGUGUCCGCCUGAGGAACAGAAGUGUCUGCGCCUUAAAGGUGAGCAGAUCUUUAUUAGUCCACGGCUGCAGAACUCACAGGGCCCUUCUCCAAACUCUGACUUGUUUAGCCCUCACUACAACCCCGAGAGAGACACGAUUCUCUUUUCUCCAUUUAACAGUUAGAAAAACAGAGGAUGCAAAGACUUACAUACCUUUGCUCAAACUACAGAGCUGCAAAUGGAACCCAAGUCCUCUCAUUCAAAAUGCCACGUGGACUGUGCAUGUUCCCCCAAUCAGAAAGGAACGGUUCUCUGCGGUUAGUCUAAGUGUCUUUUGAAACUGAACCAAUAGACAGACAGCAUGGCACUGUGGAUAAAGCAUGAACUGGAGAAACUGGAAUCUCUGUUAUCCAUCUGCCUCUUGCCCUGGAAGGUUCUGGAAGGAUUCUACAGACUUGAGUUGACAUAUGUUCAUUCUGCACCCAUUCCUAUCCAAUUUCCUUAACGCUGAAUCCUGUAGUGCACACCAGACGGUCAUUUAAGGGAAGGACCUCAUACCCUGACCUGCUCAGCCAGCUGUCCCUUCAUCUGCACCAUCAGCUAAAGGGAACACACUCCACCUUGCAGGGGCACAGCAGAAUUCACUUCUGGAAUUAAAAGAAAAAUGUUAACUUCUUCUGAGUAGAAUGUAGUAGGUCAUAAC